CCUCCUCUUUCUCCUCCUAAAUUCUUUUUUCUUUUUUUUUCUGUAAAACAAAAUCAUUUUAGAAGAAGAUGAUGACGAUGAGAUCAGUUUUUGCAGUCCCUAGUCAGUCUCUGGUACAACUGGUCGAAGACGAAAAUGAAGAAGGAGAUGAAGACAGAGACAACGACGGCGAUGGUGACGAAGACGGCGAUUAAGACAUAUAUGACGACAGCUAGAAUGAAUAUAAGCUCUCUGCUUUCACCUACCCAGCUCAAUCAAUCAACCACAAUAAUCAAAGCGAGGAGAAUCAGUAGGGAAUUCAACAUUGAGAAGUUGCAUGCUCGGAACAGAUAAGAAGACAAAGUAUAAGAAGAAGGAGAAGUCGGUUGGUUAGAAACGUUUAAACAAUUUUGUUGCUUCCCAUUUUAUGUGAUUGACAAAGAAUAAGAUGAUUUUAGAGUUAUCUUGUUCAUAAACAAACUUGAUUAAUUUAUAAAAGCAUAUUGAGAAAUAUGGUGUACAUGUGUACACGUUUUGUUGUACAUAAUGAAACAUACAACUGCCUACUAGUGAGGUGUACAUGUGUACACAUGUAAACCAAUGUACAUAUGGACAAUGUCUAAACUAAUGUACAUGUGUACUUAUGCGAACAAUGUACAUUCAUCAA